UUGCAUUUAUAUCAAUAAAAUUUUGUAUAAUAUAAUAUAUUUGUAAGUGAAUAUUUGCAUUUUGAUCUAUUUAUGUCGCGUUCUUAAAUCUAUUGGUAUCAUUUAAUAAUGUCACUACCAAUCGUUAUUUUGACAUUAUGUCUCUACGAAUUUAAUUACAUCACUUUACCUUAUACAAAUUUGUACACAAUAUCCUUAUUGCAAUACUUGCUUAUUGCAUUACCUAAAAUUAAGUUUUGUUAUUUUUCUCUGAGCUCAUCGCGGACUUCAAACAGUUUUGCUCGUUUUAUAUUUCGAUUCACUGGGAGCUGACGUAUUGAGAGUGCGAACGGGUGCAAGUUCGUGACUGGCGAGUGUAUGACAAUGGCCAAAUUGUUACAUAACAAAAUAAGUCGAUGCUCAGCACAUAGCAGUGCGCGUGACAUGUAACACGUCCAAUUACACUUUUGAUGAAUAGUCGUCACCUGCAAGCCAUAUACAAUUUUAGGAAGCAUUUCAUUUGUUGACUAAACUAUUUGUUUACACUUAUUUACGCUUAUUAUUAUUAUUAUUAUUACAUUUAUUUAUAUUUA